AUCCUUUAUUUUUUUAGGUAUCUUUGAUUUUGCUGCAUAGAACAGUGGUUCUGACACUUAGCUACAUACCACCCAGAGAGCUUUCUAAACUCCUUAAGUGAGGUUACACUCCCAAGCAUUAUUAUUUAAUUAGUCUGGGGUGAUUUUAUUACACAGCCCAAGUUGAGAACCAUUGUCUAAGAUCCCAGUGGUCUGUAUUUUUUUAGAGCCACUCCAUUGUUUUUUAAAGAGAUCAGAAAUGGCUGAAGAUCCAGAGGUAAAUAUGCAUGAGAGCCCACUAAUUUACACACUUUUCGCUGAAAAAUUAAAAGGCUACUGAGUUAUUUACACAUGGUUGAAGAUGAUAUUGAGUGAUUCUCAAAAUUAGUGUGGAUAUUGUGUAUAUCCUCUUAACCAUUGAAAAGAGGGAGAAUUUAAAGAUUAACUUCAGCCUGGUCUCUAAAUUUACUACCUUUUACAAUUUUAUUCAAACUAAAUGGCUGGAUUUAUCAAGCUAGAAGUUUUUAUGUUUUAAAACUUCUUUAAAACAUCAUGAUGAUUCUCUUAUUUGAGGAAUCAGUAGCAGAUCAUACAUGAAUAUGAAGUAGAGUAAAUUGGGAAGUGAGGGCUGGAAGCUAUGCUGUAAAGUGGAAUGGCUAGAGGAUGGGGAAGUUGGGUGUGGUGCUGAGUUUACAAUGUAAGGUACACAUGGAGCCCAAAUGGAGAUGGAAGCUGGGUUUUGAGGUCUACAUAGGUGUCUAUUGGAAAUGAGCAUACAGAAUUACCUUCUGGCAUAUAUUUAGCAUUACAGUAAUCGGACUGAAAUAAAGAGAUAUCUUGGUAGGUAUUCUCAACAGCCCUAGAAGCACUGAAGUGUGAUGCUGAACCUGGUGUUUGUAUCAGACUUCUUGAUGCGAGUGGAUGUGUAAGCUCAAAGGCAUGCUCCUCUCUAGAGUGAAGCAGGGUUCUUAGGGCCUAAAACUGAAGCAAAGAGCCACAUCCUUUGGUGAGUUGUGCAAUUUAGGAUGUCAUGACCAGCCUUUAGAUUAAAUGUAAUUGAACAUAAUUGGUAGAAAAUGCUGUUGUCUAAAUAGAUGAAUCCAGACUCAGUCUAUGAGUGAUGAAUUGCCAAUUAAGUAUAUAUAGUUAGAUAGGAGGGACAUAUAACACAGGGAAUUCUGAUAACUUUGGUACUUUCAGCUUUAGAAUAUCUUAACAAAACCUAAGAGUUGAGGGUAAGGCAGUGGAAGGCUAGGAUAUUAUUUCAAGUGUGUCUUCUGGGGGUGAGGGAGAAAAUGGGAGAAGUAUAAUAUUUUAAAACUUUCAUACGAGAAGUACUGUGGAAGUAGGGGAUGGAAACAGGAUGUCUUGGAAGAGAACACAGUACAUUUUGGUGAGAAAAACAUUUCCCUAUUUUUAAAUAUCAGUGAAGGAUGAAGUCUGGUUGGGAGAGCAGAAAGAGUGAAGGGAGUCAUUAAUAGAAGGAAAAGUAUACUAGGACUUCUAUACUCCAAGAGGAAAAGGGAUAAUACAUAGCACUUAAUCAUACCAGGAAAAAUAAGAAAAUAAUAAUCAUGAGUUAAAAUUAAAACGUAAAAUAAAUUGUUUAAAUCAUUAUAUAAUAAAGGUGACAUUUGUUAUAGGUAUUACCAAAUCACUAUAACAAAGCCAGUUCUUCUAUUGAAAGAAAAAUUGAGAAUGGGCUAAAAAAUUCUUUCCAAAUCCCAGUUAAAACUAGUUUAUAGAAAUAAUUAAAACAAAGUAAUAAAGUAUGCCAGUGUAAAAUGUAUAUUUUACUGCAUGUCAUGUCAGAAAAAUUGAAAGCCGCUAUUUCAGGAAGUUGUAUAAUUCCAACCUGAGAGUCGCCCACUUGGUUGGUUAUUGAUUGAUUCACUUAUUCUUUCAUUUUCUCAACAAAUGCUUAUUGCAUUCUUAACAUUCUCCAAUAGUAUUCGGAAAAGUUUUUGAUUUGCAUGGAGAAUAAGAAAGACAUAAUUUGUGAUUUCAUGGAGUUUGCAUUCUAACAGGGGAGAUAAAUAAUACAUAAGUUUAACAAGCCCACAAUAAUUUCAUGUUAGAUAUAGGCUAUGUGGGAAAAAAAUCAGUGUGCUUGCUAUAGAAUAACAGGAGGUGACAUAAUGUAGAAAGUGUGAUCAGGAAAGAUGACUGAGAAAGUGACAUUUGGUUCAGUUCACUUCAACUUCUGUUAAAUACAAAGUUCAGAAUUUCUGCAUCUGAUAUUAUAUAGCCUAUUUCCUUUCUCAGUCACAAACCUUUUAAUAAAAUUUAUAAAGAAAGUUACUUUGUUUCCCUCUAUAAAAUGAAGGUCUCAUUUUUACCCACUUAUAAAGAGUAAAAAUUAUCCACUUAAUUUAUGAUAUUUGGAAUCAAAUCAGACUUAUUUUAUUUGCCUUUAAGUUUAAAAAUACAUCUGAAAGUAAAUGGAAAGAAAAGAACCUCUAGGAAAAUUUCUUAAAACCAGUCUUCUAAAAAUAACAUCAAAAACCCAAGUAAUUAGCUAAAUAGGCUUCAUAUUCAAAGAGAAAUUACCAAUUAACCUUCCCUUGGCCCCCUAUCAGGAAAGACAGCUAGAGAGUUGAAGAGUGAGGAAUUCCUACGGAGGGAGGAUCUGAUCCAUUUUGAGGGAUGCCCUUGCUAGAGGCAAUACUUACUUGAAAGAAAAUCCCAGCCACUGAUUCCACUUAAGUUUAGAAACCUCUUAAGGGCUGAAAGGGAGAGCUCUGUUUGCUGAGAGAAAAACAAACAAUCAAGACAAGGAAGGGGUUGGUUGACAAAGCCAGCUCGGAGUCAGAUCUGUUUUCUGUCAGUGGGUUUAGGUUUGGCACUAGAGAUAACCAGGAAGAUUAUGUUUUUUGAGCUCAGCAUUGGUGAGAUAUAAUAUGCAAACAUUUUUUCUAAGCUGUAUAACCUUAAUUUGUUGAUAAAAAGAGGAUAUACUAUUUAUGUUAGAAUUGGAAGCCUUUCUGAAUUUGGAUGCUCUGUUGUGUUUACUGCUUCUUGGUUUGUUAUUCUGUCCUUAUGUCACCUACAGAAAUAGAACAUUUUAAAUAAAUCCUUUCAUGAAAAUAAAAAAUAGAAGGCAAGGCGCUGGGAGUUCCAUGUCCUCACUCCUAUAACACUGUAUCUAUCCCUCUAUUUUUACAAUAAUGAAGAGGCUUAAAGAUGUUUACUUAUAAGUGCUUUUCUCUAGAUUACUAAAUUCUUUGAGGGAUCUUGUUCAUCCUUGUAAUAUCAGUGCCUAACGAUGUCUGACCUACUUGGAAAAUGUUGAAUUAAAAAAAAAAUGGGAAUGCCUAUUCACCUUAUUUUAAAUGUGUACAUUCAUUCCAAUUUCGGCUUUUGCCCCCACUUUUCUUUACUUUUCUGAUAAAACUCCUUAUCAUGUUCUCCAGUGACCUCCAUUAUGCUGUUUCAGGGACCAGCACCUUACAUAUCAGGAGCAUUUGGUACCAUCCGUCAUCUCCUCCUCCUAGAAACAUUUCUUUAUUUGGCUUCUGGACAACACAUACUUUGUUUUUCUCCCUUCCUGAACCACCAGAGUGCUUAAUUCUAAGAUCCCUUUUCCAUAACCGCUUUCUAGAUGCCUUCAUCUAGUGUCCUGCAGUGAGACACUCACAUUUAAAUGGCACCUCCAUCUUGAACACCAUCUCGCUUAGCCAGUAACUUUUACUUUACAACUUAAUUGGCAUCUCAAUUUCAUCUAUUCAACUUCAAAGCCUGAUUUUCCUCGCUAAAACCUGUUUCUCUGCAAGUCUUUCCCAUGUUGCUCAGACCCCAAAUCUUAGCUGUCCUUUACUACUUUGCCCUCUAGACCACAUGUUUAAUGGAAAGUUCUGUUGUCUCUAUAUUCAACAUAGAUUCAGAAAUGGACCACUCCCAUUACUUUCGUUACUACUCUCUAAACCAAUGCAACCUCUCAUUUGGAUGAUUAUUAAGGCUUCUUAGAUGAAUUCCCAGAUUCCCCACUUGGCUUCCUAUAAUCUGUUCUUCAUAUGGUGGCAGGCAUAACUCUGAAAAUAAUGUCCAGAUCAUGUCCUUUCUCUGACUGCGCUCUCCUAUUUUCCCCUUGUCAUACUAAAGUUCAGCCUGCUUAAAAUGGCUCCUGGAAGGCUCUGUGAUCUGAGACUGAACCUUCUCUCUGACUCAAGUACACUCUCUUUUACUGUACCUCCUCUUGUUCGAUAAAGACUGGUGUCACUGCCAAACUUGUUUCUCCUUUAGGUCAAACAUGCUCCUUGCUUUUGCCUGGUGUUUUCUCCAGGCAGAAACAGCCUAAUGGCUGGUUUCUUAUUUCCCUCUGAUCUUCACUCAAAUGUCACUUUAUCAGUGAGGACGUCCUUGAAAGUCUCUCUCACACACACAAAAGCAAUCACUCCUUACUUGCUCUUGCUAUUUCUUUUUUCUCAGUAUAGUACUUAUCACAUUCUACAAAAUUUAAAUGUUUUAUUCUUAUUAUCUGUAUCCCUCUGCUAGAGUAUAAGCAGGAAGGGAAGAGUUUUCUUUUGUCUGUUUUCUUCAGCACAUAGAAUAGACGAAUAUUUGACAUAUAGUAGGUACUUGAUAAAUGAUGAUUAAAAGAUUGAGUUUAUGACAUUUUAUUUAUUUAAAUUACUGAAAAACUUUGUUUUAUCUUUCAGCAUACUAUGUAGUUCCAGCAUAUAGCGAAAUCCACUAUUUAUUGAGAAGUUUAAUUAAUAUCAUUAAUUGAGAUGCUGGAAACCCAGGAGUAGUGGAAAAAAAUGAGUCAGAAUUUAGACAGCUCUUCUCCUUAAGGUGUGGCCUAGGCUAGCAUAACUAGCUUAAGCAGACCCAGGAGGCUGAUAUUUACUCUUUAGACAUAGGUUCCAGUGAGUGCAGUGUUCUAAGUUUUAAUUCCCAGAGUUUUUGACACUAGUCGUUGAUGUGGGCAGGCAGAGAGAACACUGCAGAGAUGAAUCAGAGUUAGGUGUGACUCUGUGUUGGGGGGAGGAUAGAAUUAAGUGUACUAUAUUGGCUGGGGAGCUCCCGUCAUGGCUCAGUGGUUGACGAAUCCGACUAGGAACCGUGAGGUUGCAGGUUCGAUCCCUGGCCUUGCUCAGUGGGUUAAGGAUCCGGUGUUGCUGUGAGCUGAGGUGUAGGUUGCAGACGCUGCUCGGAUCGCGUGUUGCUGUGGCUCUGGUAUAGGUCAGUGGCUACAGCUCCGAUUCGACUCCUAGCCUGGGGACCUCCAUGUGCCAUGGGAGUCGCCCUAGAAAAG
rnacentral:lncRNA from 1 species